CUGGUGCACCCACUCGGGGAUCUCGUCCACGUCGCCCGGCGGGUAGAGGCGCUCCUGGCCGGGCCCGCGCUUCUGCAGCUGGGCGCCGUAAGUGUAGCCUUCGCCGAAGAAGUACUUGUUGCGCAGUGGGGCCCGGUCCACAGUGUGCUCGUUGUACAGGCCCUUCUCAGCGCGGGACACCACCUCGUCAAUGCGGGCCUCGAUCUUGGCGCACUCGUCCUGGCUAAAGAGGCGCAUCUGGCGGAUGCCGCUCUUCACCUUGCGCGCCUCCUCCUCCUUCUGCAGCUGCUGCUCCUCGUAGUCGCUGCGCUCGGGGUCCGAGUCCUCCUGAUACUUGCGCUUGGCCCCGGACACCGGACAGAGUUUUGCUCUGUCACCAGGCUGGAGCGCAAUGGUGCGAUCUUGGCUCACUGCAACCUCCGCCUCCCAGGUUUAAGCCAUUCUCCUGCCUCAGCCUCCCGAGUAGCUGGGACUACAGGCACGCACCAUCAUGCCCAGCUAAUUUUUGUAUUUUUAGUAGAGAUGGGGUUUCACCAUGUUGGCUAGGAUGGUCUCCAUCUCUUGACCUCAUGAUCUGCCCGCCUCGGCCUCCCAAAGGGCUGGGAUUACAGGCGUGAGCCACCAUGCCUGGCCACGUGUAAAUGCUUGAGAUUUAAAAAGUAUGAAUCCAAUCAAUAAAUGGUAACAGUUUCUAACUGUCUGUUGCCAUGGUUACCGCCUGGCUCCCACAGUGCACAAUGGGCAGUGACCCAGGCUCAGUGCUCCCAAUUGGAGAGGGGUAGGGGAAGGCAUCAGGGAAUUGUGGAAAUCAAUCUGUGAAUGUGGUUCUCAGAUGGAAGCCAUUGUUGGAAUCCCCCCAGGGAAGCUGCUCUGAGAAAGGAUAAAAUCAUGUUAGCAGCACUCUCUGAGUGGUAACUGUGUGCCAGGCCUUGUCCUAAAGGACUGAUGUGUCCUACCUGUUUUAAUCCCCCCAGUGUCUCUGAGAGACAGGAGCUAUUAUAUCCCAUUCCAUAGAUGAGGAAACUGAGGCACGGAGCCUUGAAGCUCCAGACUGCACAACUGGUAGGUGGUGGGAUUUGAACCUGGAUGGUAAGAGGCCUGAGGAUCACACUCUGAAGUGCUCUCUGCUGAGGUUAGCUGUGCUGGCCCUGCCUUGGGGGCCACCUCUGCUAAUUAAACCAGUGUGUGUGAAUGGAGUCUUCUUCUCCAGCCAAUCCUUUACCUACCCACAUGCUGCCAUGUUCUAGGCCUUUCUGGGAUUGUUGCUGCAUUUGACAGUGUGGAACCUGAGGCUCAGUGAGAAGCAGGGAUGCCUCAAGAUCCCCUCACACAGCCUGUCAGAGGUGGGCAGGAUGGGGACCCAGGUCUGUUGGUGCCACACUGCUGCACUCAGACAUCACCUCCUCCUGGAAGCUCUUCCUGAUUGCCUCCCAGAUAGCUCAGGUCCCCUGUACACCCUGCCAGCACUGAUCAAGGUAUAUUUUAUAUCUGAGACUUGAGGCUCUGUGAGGGCCAGGGUUGAGGGGGUCUCAGUCACUUCAGUAUCUUUGCUACACAGAGAUGCUCAGUGGACCUAUGCUGAAUGAGUGAAUGAAUGUAGCCCCUGACACAUACAGGCCAGAGGCAGAGAUGGCAGCAUAAGGAGGUCACGUGGUGCUGCAAGGAAGUGGGAAAACCAAAGAGGCCUUCAUCCAUCCAUCCAUCCAUCCACCCACCUACCCACCCACCCAUGCAACCAACAAAUAUGUAUUGAGCAUCUACUAUGUUCCAGGCACUGACUUAUGGACACAGCACGAACAAGAUGGACACAGUCCUGCUCUCUUGGAGCUGACAUUCUGAUGGGGGAAUGAUACAGUUUGGAUAUUUGUCCCUUCCAAAUCUCAUGUUGAAAUGUGAUCCCUGGCCAGGCAUGGUGGCUCAUGCCUGUAAUUCCAGCACUUUGGGAGGCCAAGGUGGGCGGAUCACUUGAGGCCAGGAGUUCGAGACUGGCCUGGCCAACAGGGCAAAACUUGUCUCUACUAAAAUACAAAAAAAUAGCCAGGCGUGGUGGCGCGUGCCUCUAAUCCCAGUAUUUGGCAGGCUGAGGCAGAAGAAUCACUUGAACUGGGGAGGCAGAGGUUGUAGUGAGCCGAGAUUACUCCAGCCUAGGCGACAGAGCAAGAUACUGUA